AUUUUAUUAUUCAUGAUUUUAUUAAAUUAUCUGUAUAGUAAUUCAAUCAUGAUUUGAUUUAAAUUAUCUUGAUUGAAUUGAUCGAAAUUUCAGACAAUGUCGUUGAUCAAGCCUAUCCCAUCUUAUUAAUUUCUCUCUCCUAUAACUCUCUCUCCAUUUAAUUUAUAAACUCAAUAAAAGAUUUUUAACUUUAUCACUUCGAAUCUUAUUUGACAAGAUAGCCAAACUCUGAACCACCUU
rnacentral:lncRNA from 1 species